rnacentral:rRNA from 1 species
UACGUAGGGGGCAAGGCGUUGUCCGGAAUCAUUGGGCGUAAAGAGCGUGUAGGCGGCCAGAUAAGUCCGCUGUGAAAUCUCGAGGCUCAACUUCGAGCUGUCGGUGGAAACUGUCUGGCUAGAGUCCGGAAGAGGAGAGUGGAAUUCCUGGUGUAGCGGUGAAAUGCGCAGAUAUCAGGAAGAACACCAAUGGCGAAGGCAGCUCUCUGGGACGGUACUGACGCUGAGACGCGAAAGCGUGGGGAGCGAACAGG